GAUGAACGCUGGCGGCGUGCCUAAUACAUGCAAGUCGAGCGAACAGAUGAGGAGCUUGCUCCUCUGACGUUAGCGGCGGACGGGUGAGUAACACGUGGAUAACCUACCUAUAAGACUGGGAUAACUUCGGGAAACCGGAGCUAAUACCGGAUAAUAUAUUGAACCGCAUGGUUCAAUAGUGAAAGACGGUUUUGCUGUCACUUAUAGAUGGAUCCGCGCCGCAUUAGCUAGUUGGUAAGGUAACGGCUUACCAAGGCGACGAUGCGUAGCCGACCUGAGAGGGUGAUCGGCCACACUGGAACGGAGACACGGUCCAGACUCCUACGGGAGGCAGCAGUAGGGAAUCUUCCGCAAUGGGCGAAAGCCUGACGGAGCAACGCCGCGUGAGUGAUGAAGGUCUUCGGAUCGUAAAACUCUGUUAUUAGGGAAGAACAAAUGUGUAAGUACCUAUGCACGUCUUGACGGUACCUAAUCAGAAAGCCACGGCUAACUACGUG
rnacentral:rRNA from 1 species